GUAGGAUUCAGGCCUACCUCUUCUGUUCAUCAGUUAGCCCCUUAUUGAGGUAGGAUCCAGGCCUACCUCUUCUGUUCAUCAGUUAGCCCCUUAUUGAGGUAGGAUCCAGGCCUACCUCUUCUGUUCAUCAGUUAGCCCCUUAUUGAGGUAGGAUACAAGACUACCUCUUCCGUUCAUCAGUUAGCCCCUUAUUGAGGUAGGAUACAAGACUACCUCUUCCGUUCAUCAGUUAGCCCCUUAUUGAGGUAGGAUCCAGGCCUACCUCUUCUGUCACCUAGACUAGAGUUCCUUUUUGAUUGAAAACCAAAUUAAAACCUGUUGCUUUGUGAAAACGUUCAAAACCCUGGAUCCGUUACAAUGACUUGGAUCACGUCGAACGGGGGAGUCCGAAUUUACUGACACCCUUGACAAAGAUGAGAAAUAAUGACUGUGUAAAAUCAACAAUUCAAAUACUGAGCUAUAUUGUAUGCUCAACAAAAUGGGGAAUUAUAUUAUUUUAUACGAAUACAAUUGCCCAGAGAAAGAUUUUGUCUAACAAUAUUUUUUUUUUUUCUCAAAAAGGUAGGGGGUCAAAAGUUUAGUAUUUGGUCCCAUAUUCCUAGCAUGCAAUGACUACAUCAAGCCUGUGAAACUUGUUGGAUGUAUUUGCAAUUAGUUUUUUUUUUUGUAUUUCAGAUUAUUUUGUGCCCAAUAGAAAUUAAUGGUAAAUAAUGUAUUAUGUCAUUUUGGAGUCACUUUUAUUGUAAAUAAGAAUAUAAUAUGUUUCUAAAUACUUCUACAUUCAUGUGGAUGCUGCCAUGGUUACAGAUAAUCCUGAAUGAAUCGUGAAUAAUAAUGAAUAGUGAGAAAGUUACAGAGGGUCAAAGAUCAUACCCCCAAGAUAUGCUAACCUCUCAUUAGGGCCUACACAGGGAGGUUAGCAUGUAAUAUCAUACCCCCAAGACAUGCUAACCUCUCACCAUUACCAAUAACAGAGGAAGUUAGCUUGUAGUAUCAUACCCCCAAGACAUGCUAACCUCUCAUUAGGGCCUACCAGGGAGGUUAGCAUGUAAUAUCAUACCCCCAAUACAUGCUAACCUCUCAUUAGGGCCUACCAGGGAGGUUAGCAUGUAAUAUCAUACCCCCAAGACAUGCUAACCUCUCAUUAGGGCCUACCAGGGAGGUUAGCAUGUAAUAUCAUACCCCCAAGACAUGCUAACCUCUCACCAUUACCAAUAACAGAGGAGGUUAGCAUGUAAUAUCAUACCCCCAAGACAUGCUA
ensembl:lncRNA